rnacentral:rRNA from 1 species
GGAGGAAAGCAGGGGAUCGCAAGACCUUGCGCUUUUGGAGCGGCCGAUGUCUGAUUAGCUAGUUGGUGAGGUAAAGGCUUACCAAGGCGACGAUCAGUAGCUGGUCUGAGAGGACGACCAGCCACACUGGGACUGAGACACGGCCCAGACUCCUACGGGAGGCAGCAGUGGGGAAUUUUGGACAAUGGGGGAAACCCUGAUCCAGCCAUGCCGCGUGAGUGAAGAAGGCCUUCGGGUUGUAAAGCUCUUUCAGCCGGAACGAAACGGUCACAGCUAAUACCUGUGACUACUGACGGUACCGGAAGAAGAAGCACCGGCUAACUACGUGCCAGCAGCCGCGGUAAUACGUAGGGUGCGAGCGUUAAUCGGAAUUACUGGGCGUAAAGCGUGCGCAGGCGGUUUUGUAAGUCAGAUGUGAAAUCCCCGGGCUUAACCUGGGAACUGCGUUUGAAACUACAAAGCUAG